CUCGCUGCCUUGUGAAGGGGAUUUCGCGAGGACUUGGUGUCGUCGGCGGUUCUCGUGGGCAGCUGUGCUUCGGCGCAGCGAGGCUUUGCGGCCUAGGACGCACGUGUGAAGAGCCGGGGCUUCUCGGGAGCGGCCAUGUUGUGUGGACGCGGGAGGGUGGGGCCGUCUCCCCGCCCGGCGCGUGGAAUACGGGGUGCCCUCUUCCCCCGUCCGCGCCAGGUCCGCGUCUCGGGCCUCCGCCAUCUUGUCCGCUUUGGGGCGAGGGUGUGUGAGGUCGGCAGGAGCAUGGUGGGUCGGUCGUGAAUUCUUCCGAAAGAUUUCCGUCCCUGUGUUAGCCACAGCUUCUCAGAUCUUUAGGAAAUCGCUCGUUUUCUUUUUUUCUCUGUGCGAAGCUGGAAUAAAGGCUAAGAGCGACGGAAAGGAGCAGGUGUAGGCGUUUUCCUGUAGGGAAAGAAAAUACAAAGCUCUUAAGGAAGAAGCGAGUCUUCAAGUGAAUGAUGGAAUUGUUUCUGCGAACCAGGAUGCCAUUCUCCUUCCUCGGAGGCCCAGCCUGGAAGGAGGUAGCUGAUUUUCUCCAGCAGGAGUCUCCGUGUUCUUUGGAUGGAGUUGUUUCUCAGCAGCCUUCAGUGUUUCAGGGUCCUCUUCCUGUGUAUCUUCAAGCGGAGGGGCUGCCUGCCAUCACCCCAUUGUGCUGUUCCCCUUGAAGCCACCGAUGCCCUGCCUCUCCUGCACCUGCAGCAGUAUCUUCCACCUCUUGAGGUCCUUGUCUCUGGGCAGCCAGGGAGACCAGUGCUGCUCAGGGUCACCUGGGUCCUGCAGGUGUACGACCGGGACCAGGCCCUGUCCUUGGAUUCCAGGGGGCUGGUGUUACUGGGCAGCCUGACCCACAAUGCCAUCUUCAACUACCACUGGGAGAGCCUGCAGGGCAGCUGCCAGACACUGCUUGCUGACUGCAAAGGCCUGGCGCCAGCGCUGAAAACCCUUCCUGCGUGCCCAGGACAUGGACUGCUCAAGGGACUGAUGCUGGGCCCCACCCCAUGUGGGAGGACCUUGUGGACUACCUGCUGGCCCACAGUCAGCCCCGGGGGAGGGGUGCAAGCAGCCACCUGUGGGAUUGGAUUGGGCCAUCACAGGAGAGGCAGGGGCCUUACCCAUAGUUGUUGGCCUGUUUUGUUUUGUUUUGUACUGAGGAUCGAACUUGGGUCCUUACGUGGAACCACUGAACCAAAUCCCUGCCCCUUGCCCAUACAUUCUUACCUUGACCCCUUCCGUGGACAGCACCGUCCCGAGCCCAAGGGACUAAGCCACUUGCCAUGAACCCGAAAGUGCUGCAGGCCAAGCCAGGGACCCCGUGGCCCACAAGGCAGAGGCAUCUUCCGUUUUCGCUAUAAAAGUUUUCUUUUUAAUGCA